UACGAAGGGGGCUAGCGUUGCUCGGAAUCACUGGGCGUAAAGCGCACGUAGGCGGCUUUCUAAGUCAGGGGUGAAAUCCCGGGGCUCAACCCCGGAACUGCCCUUGAAACUGGAUGGCUAGAAUCCUGGAGAGGCGAGUGGAAUUCCGAGUGUAGAGGUGAAAUUCGUAGAUAUUCGGAAGAACACCAGUGGCGAAGGCGACUCGCUGGACAGGUAUUGACGCUGAGGUGCGAAAGCGUGGGGAGCAAACAGG
rnacentral:rRNA from 1 species